rnacentral:rRNA from 1 species
UUGAACGCUGGCGGCAGGCCUAACACAUGCAAGUCGAGCGGAUUAAGGGAGCUUGCUCCUGGAUUCAGCGGCGGACGGGUGAGUAAUGCCUAGGAAUCUGCCUUGUAGUGGGGGAUAACGUCCGGAAACGGGCGCUAAUACCGCAUACGUCCUGAGGGAGAAAUUGGGGGAUCUUCGGACCUCACGCUAUCAGAUGAUCCUAGGUCGGAUUAGCUAGUUGGUGGGGUAAAGGACUACCAAGGCGACGAUCCGUAACUGGUCUGAGAGGAUGAUCAGUCACACUGGAACUGAGAAGGGGUCCAGACGCCAAAGGGAGGGAGCAGUGGGGAAUAUUGGACCAUGGGCGAAAGACUGAUCCAGCAAUGCCGCGUGUGUGAAGAAGGUCUUCGGAUUGUAAAGCACUUUAAGUUGGGAGGAAGGGCAGUAAGUUAAUACCUUGCUGUUUUGACGUUACCAACAGAAUAAGCACCGGCUAACUUCGUG